GCCUGGGUGGCUCAGUCGGUUAAGUGUCUGACUUUGGCUCAGGUCAUGAUCUCACGGUUUGUGGGUUCAAGCCCCGCGUCGGGCU
rnacentral:tRNA from 1 species